rnacentral:lncRNA from 1 species
UUAUUAGAGACUUUUUUUAGUAGCAUUUUACAGAAACUGUAACGAGUACUCAGUAAGAACUGGUUGGUGUACUUUUUAGGAGUCACAUUUCCACAGUUCAGCGGCAGUGAAUAGGUGUGCUAUCACUAAUAGAAUGCACAAUGAACGUAAGAGGGGAAAACAUACAUCCAUUAUACAUACAAAAUCAAUACCCAGUAGGUAACUUGCCUGAAAAAGAUGUUAAUAGAGCUACUUAACCUUGGGCAAACACUUGUUACUGACCUGAUUUUAUUUAAUUCUAAAAGUAAAGCUGUAAUGUUUUUCACAGUACUGACAGAAUCAAACACACACACACAUUUUUGCAAAACAAGUAGUAACUGUAAAUCCUAAUAUUAUCAGGAUUUGUGGUUAGUUGUUCUAGUUGGUUUUUCAAGGACAGUGUUCAUACUGAAUUCUUGCGCCUCAUAAUGAAUGGUAACUCAGAAAUCUGUUACCACUCCUGUCUUCUUCAGCAAUAUAAAUGAGUUCGGACUACUAAGCUACGGCAGAAUCCUUAGGAUUCAGAAUUCUGCAGAUCUGCUGGGAUCAUGAGUGUUAGCAGGUCUUACCACUCUAUUCAAGUAAACAAUAAUAUACUUCACACAUUUGUUUCACCUUAGCAUCUAUAUUUUCUGCUGAUGUAAAGGUUUUCUCUUGCUCCUGUCUUUGCAGCAGAUUUAGGCAGGCUCUGUUCCUUCCGACUCAGUCGACAAAUGCUUUAGUUCUUGCUGCGGUAACAUGAGACCGCCCAACUCUUAUUCUUACCUUUUCUAAUCCUAGAAUUGACUUGGUUGGCCUUGGUGAAGAAGGAACCUCCCUAGACCUUACAAGGUCCUCUUUGUCCAUUAGCCACUGGACCCCCGUAUCAUCACAGGAGUUACUACUGAAUUAAGAGCCAGGUAAGAGUAAAUAAAUGUUGACCAAACCAGUGCUAUAAACUAAUACAAGUUGAAGCCACCAUUAAUCAUAGUAACGGUAUUAGGGAUGACCACAACAGUGGUAGUUGUGGAUGACGAGUUCCAUGACAGCCAUGGAGGCAGAAACAUUUGACACUGCAGUAAGCAGGGACCUUGAUGCUUACUGUGAUGACAACAGUUGAAGAUGCUAGAACCAAUCUUAGCUACAGACAGAAGAUGACAAAGUAAGCAUGCAGACCUCUGAGACUGCACAGCACUGCAAGGAGCAGAUCCAAACCCUGACCUACUCCAUGAGGGAAGAAGUGAAGUCCUAGCUGAAGAGUGCUAGACCCCAGCAGCCUGUUUUAGGUCAGUUAGGAGUUUUAGGUUGGGUUUCCCCAGGAAGCAGACUGGGGAAUAUUUUAGGGAGCAAACACCUAUGAGAGUAAAGGAAGCAGCACUGAACAAGAGAGAAGCAACCGAGACACAGGUCGCAGCUAUCAAUAUAGUUCUCAGGACAUCCCUAGUCUUCUUUUCAGAAUUAUUCAAAAUCAAGGCGCUGCUGCUCCAGACAGGGAUGAAGGGCAAGAGUGGUGGAAGGAAGAGUGCACCUCACUCUGCUCAGCAAUCAGGAGUGUUGGCCUGGUUUACAUUGGCUUUUGAUGAAAUAAUGACAAAUAGGAGAUGGUGUGCGCUUACUUCUUAUGGUAAUGUUCAAGAAUAAUUUAUAGAUAAAAGCCCAGGAACGUUUUCAUUACAAAGUACUGAUCUUAGAGCAGCUGACCAGAUUUUUUUUUUUGAAUUCUGUAAAUAUGUAUAAAUAUGGUGGUAAAUGCAGGGCCUACAAUGGUCAGAAUACGGUAUUAGACUCCAUGGAGCUGGACUUACAGGUGAGCUGCUUUAAGUAGAUGCUGGAAACAGAACUUAGGUCCUCUGGUAGAGCAAAUAAGAGUUCUUGACCAUUGAGCCUUCUUUACAGUAGCCUUCAGCUUUAUUUUUUGAAAAAUGGAUUACUCAUCAUCUUCCUCUUAUAGGCCAGGAAACUAAGAAUCAGACAUUUAGUAACUUCACACUCCAUGGCAGUUAUUCCAAUACUAGACGCUGUUAGUCCAAUUCUCCACCAUUUGAAACAACCAUAUAUUUUUUUUUUUUAAAAAAUGUUUGCAUAGCCAGGCGCUAGGGGUGCAUACCUUUAAUCCCACCACUCAGGAGGCAGAGGAACGUAGAUCUCUGUGAGUUGAAGGCUAGCCUGAUCCACCUGCCUCUGCCUCUGCCUCUGCCUCUGGAGGGCUGGGGUUAAAGUGCCAACACUGUUCAGCUUAAUCCUUCAUCUUUCUUUAAGCUAAAAAAAAAAGACCUAUAAAAAUUCAAGGAUGUUCUGCGUGUAGUGAAUGUCACUGUGCACUGUGUGCUCUCUGACAGUCAACGUGCCAGAUGCUCCCACGAAGGCUUUCCAAGGAAAACGCUCUCCAUCUUGUGCAAGGAAACAACAUCAAGAACAGUAACACAAAGAAGUACCCAGUAACACCCAUCUCCCCAGUUAUGCCUAACUUCUCCUAACUUGCUACCUUUGUAAGGCCACGCUUUUCCAUUAGCAUUUGUCAGUCUGUCUCUCUUAUUCCCUCAACCUCUUUUCCUACCUACUGCAUCCUACCUUCUUCUGUGGUUCUGUAUUCCUGAACUAUUUACCCAGAUCACACACUUAUGGGAAACAACACAAUGUAACGUUAUGAUUCAGGACCAUCGACAGUGCCACUGAGUUGGCCUGUCUGGGGACCAACUGAAAAUUUGAUAUAUUAUUAACCACAUUUGUUGUGGUAGCUAAGAAUAGCUAAGGUUCUAGUCACAACAGUAAAACUGUAGGCUGAGCUGCACUAUUU